rnacentral:rRNA from 1 species
CAGAGAUGGAUUGGUGCCUUCGGGAACUCUGAGACAGGUGCUGCAUGGCUGUCGUCAGCUCGUGUUGUGAAAUGUUGGGUUAAGUCCCGCAACGAGCGCAACCCUUAUCCUUUGUUGCCAGCGGUUCGGCCGGGAACUCAAAGGAGACUGCCAGUGAUAAACUGGAGGAAGGUGGGGAUGACGUCAAGUCAUCAUGGCCCUUACGAGUAGGGCUACACACGUGCUACAAUGGCAUAUACAAAGAGAAGCGACCUCGCGAGAGCAAGCGGACCUCAUAAAGUAUGUCGUAGUCCGGAUUGGAGUCUGCAACUCGACUCCAUGAAGUCGGAAUCGCUAGUAAUCGUAGAUCAGAAUGCUACGGUGAAUACGUUCCCGGGUCUUGUACACACCG